UUUCUUUAGUUUAUAUUAAAGGUACUUUCUGCCCUAUGAUUUUAUAUUAAAUGGCUGCAGUAUUUUAACUGUACAAAGGUAGCAUAAUAAUUAGUUUUUUAAUUAAGGACUUGAAUGAAUGGAUAAAUGAGGGAUUUAUUUUAUUUUUUAUAUUUUUAUAAUUUUAUUUAUUGGUAAAAAUGCUAAUGUUUUUUUUAGGGACGAGAAGACCCUAUAGAAUUUUUAAUUUGAGUUUAUGUUUAUAUUUUUGGUAUUAAUUUUUAUCUAAUUCUCUUAAAAUUUUUAAUUGGGGUGAUUAAUAAAUUUCCUAGGCUUUAUUUUUAAUUUUUCAUUUAUUUAUGAUUAGUUUUUUGAUCCUUAAUGAAAAGAUUAUAAGAAAAAUUACCUUAGGGAUAACAGCGUAAUUUUAGUUUAAAGUUCAUAUUUCUAUUAGAGUUUGCGACCUCGAUGUUGAAUUAAGAAAAGCUUUAGGUGUAGGUGCUUAAAUUCUUGGUCUGUUCGACCAUUAAAUUCUUACA
rnacentral:rRNA from 1 species